UACGAAGGGUGCAAGCGUUACUCGGAAUUACUGGGCGUAAAGCGUGCGUAGGUGGUUUGUUAAGUCUGCUGUGAAAGCCCCGGGCUCAACCUGGGAAUGGCAGUGGAUACUGGCGAGCUAGAGUGCGGUAGAGGAUGGUGGAAUUCCCGGUGUAGCGGUGAAAUGCGUAGAUAUGCGGAGGAACACCGAUGGCGAAGGCAAUCCCCUGGACCUGUACUGACGCUCAUGCACGAAAGCGUGGGGAGCAAACAGG
rnacentral:rRNA from 1 species